AAUGAGAUGCCUGAAAAAAAGGAUUAUUUUGAUAGAAUAAAUUAUGUAAUUAUUUUACUCUCAUUA
rnacentral:tRNA from 1 species